CAAGGCCAUAGCUGCUUCUGUCUCACCUAAAAAGGAAAACCAACAAAGCAAAAAAAAAUUUAACCUUAUUCUUGACCAACCUGAGGAAUUUACAUCUAUGCAGAUAACCAUAGUGCCACAGCCUGGCUGUACAUAGUCCCUUCCCUUCUCUCUCUGCUUCAUCAUCUGUGUCUCUACUCUGUUAGCCUCAAAUUCCCUUGCUGCCCAUGACUGCCUUCCCUCCCCACAGCAGGAAAACACAAGCACACCUAGGAAUAAGCCAUCAGAACACAAAUACCAACCUCAUCCCACUGUGUUUUUGCCAAGAAUCAGGAUGAGGGCUUUUGUACCACUAAGAUCUAGCCUGGUCUCUUAAGGCUGAUUAUUCUCUUUUUAGCUACCUUUUUUUUUUUUUUUCUUUCCAUUUCCUUCUCUCUUUCACAUUUCAGUUGAGCACUUGCCCAGCUCAUCAUGAUCCUAACCUAAUGCUGUGCUUUGAGUGAAAUAUUCACACUUCAGCAAGCUUUGAGAGGGGAUCGUUGUCACAGCUGGCAAGUUUGGUUCAUAUCUCCCAUGCCUGGGGAGGAGGGAGGGCUGGACUGCACUACCCAAGCUGUGUGCAAGCAUGUCUGGCCUCCAAAGCCAGGGCAUGGGACACUCACUUCCCAGAGAAGUCAAGUGAAAGGCUGCCAUCAUCUCCCAGGGUCUUUGACUCACACUCUAAGAUAUAUUGACAAAGGUGCUAUCACUUAUGUGGGUGAUGUGGACCCUUGGUGUUUACACAGUUGUUUCCAGGACCACACUGAAAAUGUGGUUUGGCUGGGUGAGAUAUUGUUUCAGCGCUUCCACUGGUGCUCUUGCUAUGAAUUCAUGCACUUCAGAGAAACCAACAGUGACUGCCAGGUAUCGGGACCCCAAACUCUUUACUUUGUAUCCAAAACCCCAUUGUACCAGUUAGUUUUAUUUUAUGCCUGUGUUUUACUAAAAUUGUCCACUUUGGAAAUUUGUCAAAUAAAUUGUUUUCCACAAUCUCUUUGGGUGUUUGUCUGACUUGACUUCCUCCUUCCCAGAUCUUGAUUUUACAU
rnacentral:lncRNA from 1 species